GACGAACGCUGGCGGCGUGCUUAACACAUGCAAGUCGAACGGAAAGGCCCUGCUUUUGUGGGGUGCUCGAGUGGCGAACGGGUGAGUAACACGUGAGUAACCUGCCCUUGACUUUGGGAUAACUUCAGGAAACUGGGGCUAAUACCGUAUAGGAUCUCCUGCUGCAUGGUGGGGGUUGGAAAGUUUCGGCGGUUGGGGAUGGACUCGCGGCUUAUCAGCUUGUUGGUGGGGUAGUGGCUUACCCAGGCUUUGACGGGUAGCCGGCCUGAGAGGGUGACCGGCCACAUUGGGACUGAGAUACGGAGCAGACGCCUACGGGAGGCAGCAGGGGGGAAUAUUGCACAAUGGGCGGAAGCCUGAUGAAGAAACGCCGCGUGCGGGAUGACGGCCUUCGGGUUGUAAACCGCUUUCGCCUGUGACGAAGCGUGAGUGACGGUAAUGGGUAAAGAAGCACCGGCUAACUACGUG
rnacentral:rRNA from 1 species